GCUUUCUGCGGUUUGAAGAGGAUGAGAACCUCCGGGGGCAGAGAGGUUCGACUCAAGCGAAGCGAGAGAACGUUGCGCCAGCAACGGCCCGCAGGGCAAGCCACGAAGUGACGAGUAAUCCUCUAUCACCGACCA
rnacentral:sRNA from 1 species